GUCCAAACAAUUAAAAGACACACCCUAUUCCCUCAACUCUCAAAUUAAGUGGACACUUCUGAUGACGUCUGACGAGUAUACACCUGCAGGGCAAGGGGCCACGGAGAGAACAUAAUUGUACACUUGCAAAGCCGACUAAAAACGAGGGCUGAGGAGCUUGCGUGGCUAAUAAUUUGGACCGCCCUCCAAGAUGGUGAUAGGGAUUCCCCCAAGGGCAUAAGGCGAGUCAGGGCCUGCCAUCUGAAAGUGAAACCCCAGGUAGCGGGACUCAAGGACACCCAGCUGAGGGGUGCUUGAUAAGGUGAAACCUCC
rnacentral:lncRNA from 1 species